AUUGCCAUUUUCAGAUUAUUCACAGAACUCGUAUUGCCUUAUAAUUUUCUUUUUCUCCUCUUCUUCUAUUUUUUUACGGAUCAUCACUUCCACUACUCCACUUCUUCUUCUAAUUCUUCCCCCUCCUAACACGUAUGGCUACGAUAGCCUUCUCAGAUUUCAAUCCGAGAAAUUACAACUAAACCGAACCGAAGCUAAUAACUUCACUGUCAAGUGACGACUCGACCAAACUACGCGACGUACCGAAUUAAACUGAAGCUAAUUGCUUCUAUUUCAGAUAACCAUCCGAAAAAUAUUGCCUAAACCUAUCCCUAUAUUACUCCCACACACCUUUAUAUCGCCUACUUCUAGUGAUGAUCCGAUAUUCCAAUCGCGACGCAUUUGUUCGUACUGCCAGCAUUACUACCACUUUCUCAUGAAAUCCCUAUGAUUUCCUCUUCUCUAUACUGUCAGUCAGUUUACCGUCGCGAAUUACUACGAUCAGUCCGAGUUCGUCGCGAAAUUUUUGAACUUGUGGCUAACGAUUAAAGGUGAAACUAGUGAAUAUUAUUACAAACUAUUUGAAAGUGCUGUCGAAUAUUUGGGAAUACUGUGGAGUGAUUUAGAAUUAAGUGUACGAAGGUGUCCAGGAAAUUAUCGGUUUCGAGAUGGGCUAAGGUUAUUUAGUGUUCUAUUUUAUCAUUGAAAAACAAUCUCGAAUGCUCAUCGCGAAUGGGCUCGACAACGGAGGAAACAGCGAACUGACGUCUCGACGUUGGAGUUACAGGUCUAAGUCCACCGUAAGAACAUCGACGUCAACAGCUCUCGACAACGCGUCUGCAAUGACGUUCAGCUUCCCCUUCCGAUACUCCAGACUAAAGUCAUGCUGCUGCAGCUUAAGGGCCCAUCGCGCUAGACGAGCAGAGUUUCCUUCGAUGCUGAUUUGGUUCAACCAUCUUAGCGACUGUGCGUCGGUAACUACGCGAAACUUUGUUCCUUCGACGAAGUGUCGGAACUUUUCGAUGGCGAGGAUCACUGCAAGGCACUCCCGCUCGGUCGCUGAAUAUUUCAUCUGGGUGGCGGAGAACUUGCGAGAGAAGAACGCGAUAGGUCGCCGUACUCCUUCUUGGUAUUGAACUAAUACCGCUCCAGCUGCGACUGCAGACGCAUCGGAUUCAAUAACAAACUGCUGGUUGAAGUCCGGGUUCGAAAGGACUGGAGGUGCCGUCCGACCGAUCAACGAAUUUAAUAACGAAAGAUGGUUCCUAAACGUAUCCCAAUUCAAAUAUAUACAGCAGCUAAACCGCCGCCGCCGACAGAGGAGCAUCCCGUCAUCAUCGUCGUCAUCCCGGGCAUGAAACAUAUCUCGCAAACAUCGCCGGCCGGCCGUGUGGUCGGGGCAGGUAAUGGGAUCGGAGCGCGACGAGCAACGCGAAAAAGCAGCAUAAAAGCAGAAGCAACAACAGUUGACAGUGAAACGACUCAAGCCGCAUAUCAUCAGCUCAUAAUUCGUGACAUGAGUUAAAAUUUUUAAAAUUAAUACGACGUGCAACAGCGUACACAGACAGGCAACCGUGACAGCUCCCCGUGAGGUAGAGGUAAACGACUACAGCUUUUACGGUGAACCGGGCAUGGCAGACCGGGAUAAGAGGAACCAAACUACAAUAACAACAACGACGACGACCCAACGAAGAUAGACAGACAGGCUGUGAGAGCCAAAGCAGCUGUUGAUGCCACAUUUCAUUUACGAAAACAUGUUUAUUUUCAAUUAAUGGGGAAAUAGAAGCGAUUUUUAAUCAAAGGGAUGGAACAUAAAUCCGACUUGAGGACAUUUUUCUUAUUUUGAAUUGAUAU